GGUGCCAUAGCUCAGGGAUUAGAGCAAUGGUCUUGUAAAUCAGCGGUCGUGAGUUCAAAUUUCACUGGGGCCU
rnacentral:tRNA from 1 species